rnacentral:rRNA from 1 species
UACGGGGGGAGCAAGCGUUGUUCGGAUUUACUGGGCGUAAAGGGCGCGUAGGCGGCCACUGCAAGUCAGUUGUGAAAUCUCCGGGCUUAACUCGGAAAGGUCAGCCGAUACUGCGGGGCUAGAGUGCAGAAGGGGCAACUGGAAUUCUCGGUGUAGCGGUGAAAUGUGUAGAGAUCGGGAGGAACACCGGUGGCGAAGGCGGGUCUCCGGGCAAUUCCUGACGCUGAGGCGCGAAAGCGUGGGGAGCAAACGGG